UGGUAGCAGCUACGCGCCACAGUUGUGGCCUUAGCCUAACCAGCGAGGAGCCACACCUGUGGCAUGUCAUAAACCGCCCAGUGGGAAGAGUUAAUUGGGUGGUGACACCUGGCUACCGGGGAGGAUGACCUGGCCCGGAGCCCAGGACCCUGCAGGUCAGUAUAUGAGAAAACACCUUUGAGAGCAGAUCAGUCAUCAGUGUCUUCACAAUCCGAGUCUUUUGAAGUCAGCUCAAGAAGAGGAUGAAACGAGAUUGCUAUGGUAAUGUGGUCAAUGGAUCUUCGUCUGGAACUGUGCCUAGAGCUGCAGCCCAAGGCCCCAGUGGUAAUGUCGCCAAUGGAUCUCCCUCUGGAAAUAUGCCUAAAGCUGCAACCCAAGGUCCCAAAGGUAUGGUAUUUUUUUGUGUGUGAAUUGUUACUGAUGUAAACUAUAGAUGUAUUGAUCGAUAUUUGGUUUAUCUACUUCAUGAAUCUCUAUGACACCAAUUCCUCCUUUCUCAGGUACUGCCGCUGCAAGCAGUCAUGCCCCAGGUCCUUCGGGGUACAGGCCCGCACCUCGCCGACGUCCUGUGCAACCCGACAAGUACAUGAGACUGCUGUUUUCUACGGACGGUAACGACAACGACAUCUCUGACUCUGAAUUUGUUCUGGACAGUGACAGUGACAGUGACAGUGACAGUGACAGUGACUUUGACAGUGACAGUGAAAGUGACAGGGACAAUGAACUGCGUGAAGGUGAGGAUGACCACCGGAACAGAGAAGUGCCGUUGCCUGAGACCCCAGACUUCUCAUUUGCUUGGUCAGAAGGGUCAGACUUCGUACCUGACCUGCACGA